ensembl:lncRNA
AUAAAAGCAUUCAAGAAGCCAUGAAAAUCAGUUAAGCUUGAACCUAUUGAACGAAAGAGCAUAGUGCUGUCUAUUGAUCAGUAGCCUUUAGAUGCCAUACAGAAUGAAGUGCAGAGGUGAACUGUAGGCUUCCAGCAAGUUACCACUGCCAAGGAGGGUGCAAAGACAAGCAGCUUGCUUCUGGGUGAGUAAGUGCUUAUCUUUGUCUGGGUCUUGCUGGAUUUUAUUGCUAAGGUUCAUAUGCAUUUAGAUUGCAGUCACCUGGUCAUCAACUGUGGAGACUUACUUAACACUUUUCACCCAGAUAAACCAUGAAAACAUAUUACUUUAUUUCAUCAGUAAUAUUUGUUUCUGCCCUGAGGUGCCCCAGGUAACUAAUGUUUGUCACCUUGACCCCUAAAUAUAUGUUUGGUAUAUUAAGUAUUAUAUAUAUUUUUAAUCAAUAGAGUUCAUCACAAUUCUUUCAUUAUUCAGAGAGAGAUGAGCAAAGUACUUUUGUUAGAACAAAUGUAUUCCUGUAUUCCUGUUUCUGUCUGUGCCAGGAUUAAAUGUGAAUCAAAACAAAGUAGAUACGCUGCAGUCAUUCCCUGCUGAGACUUCCUGCAUUUUUAAUCAUUAUUUGUUGGUGUUACUGUAUUUCUGUAACCCUCAGGAGUAGUGAAGCCUUCAGUGUAUGAAUUCAUUUCAUUAACUACAUUCAAACUGGAUCUAUAGGAACUGGCUCUGUACUCAGUACUGACUUCUGUGGGACAGGAUUAUAACUGUCAAGGUAGCUACACCUAUGAAUUAAACAGAAGUAUGUGCAAAGCAUAGGUCAGUACUGAGCCUCCAUCCCAUGCGUGCUCUCCCACUGAGAUCAGUGAGACUAGUGGUUAGGAGAAGAUAGAUGUGGAGGUCUGUAGGCUCAGUUAGUCUCUAAUGAAAUGUGUCUGAACCUGGAAAAGUGGGAUUGAAGAGGUCAGAAUCUACUCACUUGUAAGAUCAGUGAAGUUGAGAAUUUGGCUCAUAGUUCAUUGAAAAGGUAUCAGUAAGGUUAAAGCAAAACAUAAGAGAAAUCUUGUUUGCUCUGCUCCCUCGUUCAACAUAUAAACAGUACUGUCAGAAAUCUUGAAGGGAGCCCUGCAGACUUUUCCUGGAAAGCAUCAUUGGCAGAAAAAUAAUUUUCAGCAGAACUCAACAAAGGAGGGAAAAAAAAAAAAAAAAAAGCAGUAUAAAUCAGCUAGCAAGUUGACCCAUGGGCAGCCAAACCAAAGCAGCUUCAUUUCCUAUGGAUUUCUGUCUCCUCAGCUUUGUCAUCUGCUUCCCAGUCCUCCACUACCACCAGCCCUGCCGGUCUUCAGGACCUGGCAGGGAGGGCCACCUGCAUGGCCAGGCCAGUGCUGCAGGCCCUGUCACGGGCCAGAGAGCGCUGCCAGUGUGUCUUGGCCAUGGCUGCAGGGCUGGCCUGCUUUCCUCUCCCUGGAGCAUAUUUGGCUCUUUUGAUGUCCCUGGUUUGCACAGGGUUUAUAAGGGUCUGCGGGUCAUAGAGUCAUCUCUGUCCUUCUGUGAGAUUUAGUUAAAACUGAGGGGAAAGAGCAAGCAAAUGAUAGACAAACAUUUGCAGAACACAGUGCUGUUGUAACCUCAUUUCCCUGAGGAAUUAUAUACUUUUGUGAGCACUUGGUAUUUUUAGAGGUUAGAUUUUUAAAAACAAGCAAAAAGAUGCUUAGAACAAAUGCCAGAGAGAUGGCUCCAUGAGUUCUCUGGGGAAAUAGCCACAAAGCCAUUCCAGAUGACCAUAUCCCACAAAAUAUACAUGCUAACAUGGGUUAGGUACGCUGCAUACAAGAUGCUGAGGCCCAAAAGCUCAGGAUCCCUGCAGCAAGCAAGCCUUCCUGCCAUGUGCAGCCAUCCCCAGGACUGCCACCUCUAUGCCACCAAGGCCAACGUGUGUUUGAAAGAGAAUUUGAAACCGAAGAGGUGAGUACAAAAUAAAAGAAGUCACAGCUCCUCCCUGGAAAUGGCGCUGCUGGUGUCGGUGGACACCACUAGGUCACUCCAGCACUUCUGAGCUGGGGAUUUCUGUUUAAUAAUAUACGGCAGAUUACUUCUAUAAUGACCUAUUAAAAUUCUAAGAUUAACUCAACUGCCGCUACAGUAUCUUCAAUGUCCUGCAGCAUAAUUGGCAGAGCAAGCAUAUGCUUUUUGUUUUCUUUAUUCUGGUUUGCUUGCUUGCUUGUCACUUAGGUUUUCCCAGCAGUGUUUGUCUUGUGCUGGCCCCACCCAGAAAGAAAUGUUGGGCUGGGAAGUAAAUGAGGCACAAAGAUAGUGUCAACAUAGAUAACAAUGAGAGGGUUUUAGGUCUGUGGUUUAUAAGGAAGAAAUAAAGAAAUUUUGUGUCCUUUGAAAAUUUCUAGCUUUCAUUAAACAAAAUACAAAUGAAAUGAUUGUAUUUUUAUUCCAAUCCAAUAAGCGACGAGUAGCUUGUUUUGCUCAGUUCUGAAAUUCAUAAAGAUAUAACUGAAAAGACUGAUUUUUGCUAACAUUCAAAUAUUAAAUGAGCAUCAGAACUUCCAUUUGGGUUCAUAAGCAAUAACGUGUGUGUUUCUUUUUCUCUGUUUUACAUUUCCCUCAUGUGCAUCACGUGAGAGUGUUACUUUUUCAAAGAACGAAUCUUUAGUACUGUGUAGUCUGGACAAAUUUAACCAAUGAAUUACGCAUGUGGGUAGUCCUUGCUCGUUAUACAGUUCUUGGUAUUUCUCUUUUAAUUUUUCCCUAUUCAAUGUACACAUCUCUCAAAGCUUGAAAACUUUAGAAAGGACAAAAAGUAACUUAAUAACUUUUUAGCAUUUUAGAAAUGCUAUAUUGGACCAAGUGUUGACCUUCCCUUUCUUUUAUCAUAUCCGGGCUAAGAGAAAUAUUUCUAGCAGUGGUUAAGAUAUUGCAAUUGUCAAACAGUGUCCAGAAUCCAUAGCAAUGAGUAGCCAGUGCAAAUGAUAAAUGAAAUUUUUAUCCAAGCUGUGUGAUUCACAACUCUCAAUAGUCAGCAAAGCUGGAGUUCCCUCAUGUUGUAUCUCAGAGCUGUAAAACAUGGUCUUGUCUGACUGUUGUGCCAAUUCUGAUACAUAUAUUUAUCUAGCACUACUUGCUUCUUGUCUUCAUCACCAUUGUCCCUCUGACUAUGUGAAUUUUCAGCCCACUGAGCUUGACUGAGCUGCAUUUUUGGAGUGAGUUUCUUCUAAGAUACCUGCAACUUGCUCCUCUUGCUUGAGCAUCCUAGAAAUGUUGGGGACUUCUUGACUUUAGGAGAUUUACAACUGAGCACUCAGAGCAUCUGAUUCUGAUUUUCCCCACUGACGAGACCCCCGAUACUGAACUUAUUCUUGUGCAAAAGGUGCAAUAAGGACACCUUUCUUCGCUGAAGGAAGCUGAAGUGAGUGUUGAUGGAAAUACUGCUGAUAAAAAUGUGUAUUGAAAAUAGACAAGCGGAUGUUAAGUACAAAAAAGAAGAUACUUGGAUUUGAUGGCUGAGCAUGAAUGGCUGCAUACAGAUACAAAAGACAAGACAGAUAAGAGAAAACAAGAAGAAAAAACACUGUGAAAAAAUAACAACUUACAGUACACAAAGCAUCCUCUGCUUUCUUGAAGACAAUGUACCAUAUCAUGGUGGGGAUGAAAAAAAAAAAAAAAGCAGAUUUCUUUGGACAGCAAUCAUCCAUCAGCUUCUGAGAAAGAACGGUCCAACUAGACAAGAGAACAAAGAAAAGUGGUCCCUGGGAUAAGUGGAGCAGUCAUUGUCCCUUGGAAGAUCACCAAGAUGAUCAAGAACUGCCAAAGCUGGGACAAAAGUUCAGCCUUCCAUCACGAUCCUGCAAUAAUUCAACUCUGCACUUGCCAUCUGCAAAGACUCCAUAGCUAAAUGUUUCAAUCCACUGUACUCCCGUGAGCACAAGGAAAAGUUUUCCUUUGCCUACCUGCACAUUUAAAUGCUGAUCAUAAACAAAAUCAAGGUUUGUUCUAGUUUUCUGCUUUCUAGUAGAAACGUCUUAACAAUUUUCAAUAUUUAUUAGCGCAAGAGUAUAGUAUAAUGUAAGAAAACAACACUUUCAGAACAAUAAAAGCAAAAUGUGUGGAAAAUAUAAACAACUUGAUUUGGUAAGCAUGCAAGGGUUUGAGGCCUGUUU